rnacentral:rRNA from 1 species
GGCUCAGAUUGAACGCUGGCGGCAGGCCUAACACAUGCAAGUCGAACGGUAACAGGAAACAGCUUGCUGUUUCGCUGACGAGUGGCGGACGGGUGAGUAAUGUCUGGGAAACUGCCUGAUGGAGGGGGAUAACUACUGGAAACGGUAGCUGAUACCGCAUAACGUCGCAAGACCAAAGAGGGGGACCCUCGGGCCUCUUGCCAUCGGAUGUGCCCAGAUGGGAUUAGCUUGUUGGUGGGGUAACGGCUCACCAAGGCGACGAUCCCUAGCUGGUCUGAGAGGAUGACCAGCCACACUGGAACUGAGACACGGUCCAGACUCCUACGGGAGGCAGCAGUGGGGAAUAUUGCACAAUGGGCGCAAGCCUGAUGCAGCCAUGCCGCGUGUAUGAAGAAGGCCUUCGGGUUGUAAAGUACUUUCAGCGGGGAGGAAGGGAGUAAAGUUAAUACCUUUGCUCAUUGACGUUACCCGCAGAAGAAGCACCGGCUAACUCCGUG